rnacentral:lncRNA from 1 species
GUUUGAUCUUCUUUUUUUCUGGAAAGAUGAAAACUAGAAAAAACAAAAAAAAAAAAGAAGAUUUUAUUGUGGUUGGCUCUGCAAUGACGUGUGCUCACUCGGAAAGCCCGCUGGCUUUCCUGAUAUCACUUGCAGACACGCACAUGCCGCGGUGCUAACUUUCGUGAUCGUGCGUAGGAUAAGCCAAGUACACUCCCACUCAUCAUACACGUGUACGGUCAUGGGACCGCUCCACAGUGUCCAAAUAUUCACCCGUGGUCCCUCCCACCCAAACCAUCACAAAUUCACUGACACGCCGC